rnacentral:rRNA from 1 species
GGAGUCUGGGCCGUGUCUCAGUCCCAAUGUGGCCGAUCACCCUCUCAGGUCGGCUACCGAUCGUCGGUUUGGUGGGCCGUUACCUCACCAACUGCCUAAUCGGACGCGAGCUCACCCUGCAUCGCAUUGCUGCUUUCACCUCAGCCCCAUGCGAGGCCGUGGUCAUAUGCGGUAUUAGCAACUGUUUCCAGUUGGUAUCCCCCUUUGCAGGACAGAUUGCUCACGCGUUACUCACCCGUCCGCCACUCGAAUAUCAGCCGAAGCCAAUAUCCUCGUUCGACUUGCAUGUGUUAAGCACGCCGCCAGCGUUCGUCCUCGAGCCACUGAUCAAACUACU